rnacentral:sRNA from 1 species
AUGAAAUCGCAUGUCAAAAGCUGAUAUGGAUGAGUACAGUAGCAUUUCAACGUU